rnacentral:rRNA from 1 species
UCAAGUGACUAAGCGCACAUGGUGGAUGCCUAGGCAGUAAGAGGCGAUGAAGGACGUAGUAAUCUGCGAUAAGCCCUGGUUAGCUGAUAAACACGCUUACCCAGGGAUUUCCGAAUGGGGAAACCCACUCUGUUUACAGAGUAUCCAUAGCUGAAUACAUAGGUUAUGGAGGCGAACGCGGUGAACUGAAACAUCUAAGUAACCGUAGGAAAAGAAAUCAACCGAGAUUCCCUUAGUAGCGGCGAGCGAAAGGGGAACAGCCCAGUUGCCAUCAAGCAAACAACUCUAGUGGAACGAUCUGGAAAGUUCGGCCAUAGACGGUGAUAGCCCCGUACACGAAAGAUGAGUUUGUGGAGCAACAAAGAGUAGGUCGGGGCACGAGAAACCUUGACUGAACAUGGGGGGACCAUCCUCCAAGGCUAAAUACUCCUUACUGACCGAUAGUGAACUAGUACCGUGAGGGAAAGGCGAAAAGAACCCCGGAGAGGGGAGUGAAAUAGAACCUGAAACCGUGUGCGUACAAGCAGUGGGAGCCCUUUAUGGGUGACUGCGUACCUUUUGUAUAAUGGGUCAGCGAGUUGUUUUUUGUUGCAAGCUUAACCACAUAGGGAAGGCGUAGGGAAACCGAGUCUGAAUAGGGCGAUUUAGUAGCAAGGAGCAGACCCGAAACCGGACGAUCUAUCCAUGGUCAGGGUGAAGGCAGGGUAAUACCUGCUGGAGGCCCGAACCGGGUAAUGUUGAAAAAUUAUCGGAUGAACUGUGGAUAGGAGUGAAAGGCUAAUCAAGUCCGGAGAUAGCUGGUUCUCCUCGAAAGCUAUUUAGGUAGCGCCUCAUGUUUAACUCUGGGGGGUAGAGCACUGUUUCGGCUAGGGGGCCAUCCCGGCUUACCAAACCGAUGCAAACUCCGAAUACCCAGAAGUUCAAUCAUGGGAGACACACGGCGGGUGCUAACGUCCGUCGUGGAAAGGGAAACAACCCAGACCGCCAGCUAAGGUCCCCAAAUCAAAGCUAAGUGGGAAACGAAGUGGGAAGGCACAGACAGCCAGGAGGUUGGCUUAGAAGCAGCCACCCUUUAAAGAAAGCGUAAUAGCUCACUGGUCUAGUCGGCCCGCGCGGAAGAUUUAACGGGGCUCAAGCUUUGUACCGAAGCUGCGGAUGCAUAGAUUUAUCUAUGCAUGGUAGAGGAGCGUUCUGUAAGCCUGUGAAGGUGUGCUGCGAGGCAUGCUGGAGGUAUCAGAAGUGCGAAUGCUGACAUGAGUAACGAUAAUGCGAGUGAAAAACUCGCACGCCGAAAACCCAAGGAUUCCUGCGCAACGUUAAUCGGCGCAGGGUGAGUCGGCCCCUAAGGCGAGACCGAGAGGUGUAGUCGAUGGGAAACUGGUUAAUAUUCCAGUACUUGGUGUUACUGCGAUGGAGGGACGGAGAAGGCUAAAUCUACCGGGCGAUGGUUGUCCCGGGGAAAGUGUGUAGGCAGAGAGCUUAGGUAAAUCCGGGCUCUUAAUGCUGAGGCACGAUGACAACCGGUCUUUGUACCGGAAAGUGGUUGAUGCCAUGCUUCCAGGAAAAUCUUCUAAGCUUCAGGUAACACUAAACCGUACCGUAAACCGACACAGGUGGGUGGGGAGAGAAUCCUAAGGCGCUUGAGAAAACUCUGGUGAAGGAACUAGGCAAAUUGGUACCGUAACUUCGGGAGAAGGUACGCCCCUUUUGGUGAGGAGACUUGCUCUCCAAAGCUGAUGGGGGUUGCAAUGACCAGGUGGCUGCGACUGUUUACUAAAAACACAGCACUCUGCAAACACGAAAGUGGACGUAUAGGGUGUGACGCCUGCCCGGUGCCGGAAGGUUAAUUGAUGGGGUUAGCCUUCGGGCGAAGCUCUUGAUCGAAGCCCCGGUAAACGGCGGCCGUAACUAUAACGGUCCUAAGGUAGCGAAAUUCCUUGUCGGGUAAGUUCCGACC